rnacentral:rRNA from 1 species
UACGGGGGGUGCAAGCGUUGUUCGGAAUUACUGGGCGUAAAGCGCUCGUAGGCGGCCAACUAAGUCGGAUGUGAAAUCCCCAGGCUUAACCUGGGAACUGCAUCCGAUACUGGAUGGCUUGAAUCCGGGAGAGGGAUGCAGAAUUCCAGGUGUAGCGGUGAAAUGCGUAGAUAUCUGGAAGAAUACCGGUGGCGAAGGCGGCAUCCUGGACCGGCAUUGACGCUGAUGAGCGAAAGCUAGGGGAGCAAACGGG